rnacentral:lncRNA from 1 species
GAGUAUAGAAAUCGAAAUUUUCGGCUGACGUUGGGAUCUUCUUUACUUACCACUCCCACCACAUUUCCUCGAGUAAGAGUAAGAGUAAGUGCGAGCGAGAGGGCAAAGAUACAUCACGCUUUAUAUUUGUAGACGCGUAUCUUCUUCGACGAAACUUUUAGAAAUUUAUUUUUUAUUUUUUUUAUAUUAACGUAUACAUGCGCGUAUUAUUUGUUUGUAUUAUUGUCAAGGGAUUAAGAAUGAUUCGUCGUUAUCGCUCCUUGUCUUCUUUUUAUUCUGUUUUUUGGAAAAGUUUGUCGCUCGUUUGAAAAAUUGAUUCGAAUAUAGUUCGACAAAUAGAUAUGGCGAACGUGUUUAUAUUUCGUGUCAUCGAACUGUCAAAAGCGGCUAACCGCGUUGUACAUACAUAUCGAUCGCCAUAUUGCUUUCUUUGCGCGAAAUCCAAAGGCGCGGGUUGCGUGUGUGUGGUGGUGAUGGUGGUGGAAAUGGUCAGGCCAGCCAGUGGCGGAGGAUCUUGUCAAUAUAUAGUCAUAAAUUUAGUCUUUAUUAUACGUUAUUCUAAUCUUCCUCCUCCACCUCGCAGUUUCUUUAUCGACUAUGUGUGUCGCGUUAUAUUCGACGAAAAAAGAGAAUAAAUAAAGAAACAAAAGACAAAUAUAAUAAGAAUGCGGAAGUGUUGCACGACGAAAUAUUUAUUGCAGAGAGAAAAGAAGAAGAAGAAGAAGAGUAUCCCCAUUUAUCGAAAAUCUAUUAUCGAUUCGAUUCUAAACUAAAGUGGGAAUUUCAAAUCGUUUGGAGCAAGUUGCAGAGAAGAAAUUGAUCAAUUUUUUGAAGAAAGGAAGGAAGGAAGGAAGGAAGGAAGGAAACGAACGAUAAUGAUUUUCUAAUCACGUACUAUACACGCGUACAAAACGACAGUUUUCUACCUUGUUAUUUUAAAAUCACGUAGACUCACGUACAAGCAUACAAAUCUAUAAAUGUCGUAGAUCAUCGCAAGUACAUCGCACUCGUAUUCUUCCGUUUUCCGAUUAAACGCUGAUACGAAGUUUACGUAGUAUGUUGCAAGUAGCGUAUAAAUACAUAGUUGCAAAGAUAAAGAAAAUCAAGAUACUGUGACAAGAAGAAAUGGAAAAAAAUGACAUAGAAAAGUUUCUUUUAUGCGCGCGCGCGCGCGUGUGUGUGUGUUCUAUAUCAUUAGUAAUCUAAUGUAAUGGCUAAGUAGGGUCGUUGUUAAGUUAGGAUCGAUGAAACCAUACGCAUGAAUUUUCCAGUCGGUUCUUUCCCAUCGAAUUAAAUCAAGGUCAUUGUACGUUACCUUCUCUCUUUGCAUUCUUUCUCUUUCUCUUCCAUAGCAAUCUUUUUUUUUUUAAAGCUUAUCGCGCGAAUAAGAAACGAGGUGCGAAAAUUAAACUUGAGGUUGGAGAGAUAGAGAAAAUAAACGUACUUUGAGUACACAUUUCUUAG